UAUGAGUAGAUAUUCAUGUUGUAGUCAGCUGAGUGUUGAAAUUCAAUGCAGAUCCCCCAUGGACACUAAGUGUUUGGGGUUCACUACAUAUUUUUCUUAUUAUCUACAUGUCAGAAUUAAAUCUUUUUAAUCAGUAGAAAGUCCCUCUAUUCAGCCAUUGAAAAGUUAAGCAAAGAUUUGUCGAGAUUGGAUUGAUACUAUACUUCAAUUAAAAUUCCUUGGGUAUUAGUUGAUUCCAUUCACCUUAAUGGAAACCUGCAAAAAUGUUUUGAUUCAGUGGCCUUUGUUAACAUUUUACAGGAAAGUGAAUUUGAUAGUUAUACCAGAGAGUUAUUGUCUUAGUGGUCUUAUCCUCCUAAUUACAUACUGAUGCAAAGUAUACCGUUGCUGUGUUAUCAGGUUUGCACUGGAGCAAAAAGUGAACAGCAAUGUGAACUCGCAGCUAGAAAGGUCAAAUAUUUGACGAUGUUUUCUUCUCCCAACCUGGCAAGGUAUUGUACUACCUACAUGCAUCACUGGAAGGUGUGAUUUUGCUGUCGAUGGUUCUACUUGGUACUGAUUGACAUACAUACAUUGUUGGAACGUGAAACAUGUAGUCAAGGAACAAUCUUUGCAACGAACAAAAGUGCAUAUAUAGAGUGCACCCUUUCCAUUCUGGUGCAUUAAAUAUAGGUUCUUAACAGAUGUCUCUUUGUCAUAAUGUAGAUAUUUGAACA